UCCUUGCCUUUAUUUCCGUAUCCCCAAUCACUUCCGGUAAUCCAAUGUACCGUCUUCGCAAUUUUCACACUGUUCGUACAAAGCAACCCACCCCCACUGCCUCCUUCCAUGUCCGAUUCCCCUGUUUUUUACUCACUCACUUGAAGCUUUCCAGUUCCUUCUUCUACUUCAUCUUCAAGCUCAAAGAUAUGUCAGGCCCAGGGAUAGUGCGAAGAGGGGUUCAUUAUUUGCAAAAGCUAAAAGCUGCGAAUAUACCUUCUGAUUUGAUAGAAUCAGGGCCAAAAUCGUGUUGUUGAUGCUUCUCUUACCCUUAUGGGCGAGAGGGCAAAGCACAAGCAUCAACAACGCUGCUUGGAGUUCCGCUAGGACAUAAUGCAUCCUUUCUUCAAGGACCCGCUUUUGCUCCUCCUCGUAUUCGGGAGGCUAUCUGGUGUGGCAGCACUAAUUCUACCACUGAAGAAGGGAAGGAACUAAAUGAUCCACGGGUGCUAACCGAUGUCGGUGAUGUCCCUGUUCAAGAAAUCCGUGAUUGUGGAGUAGAUGAUGAUAGAUUGAUGAAGGUCAUAAGUGAUUCUGUCAAGCUAGUAAUGGAAGAAGUGAGUUGUUGUUUAGCUUCUUUCUUCUGAAUUACUUUGAUUGAUUAUGAUGAGUCUUGUUGUGUUGGACCGUUU